GGGGUUGUGGCUCAGUGGUAGAGUGCUCACCUAGCAUGUGUGAGGCCCUGGGUUCCAUCCUCAGGACCACA
rnacentral:tRNA from 1 species